rnacentral:lncRNA from 1 species
UAGUCAGAGCCUUUAUGGGGGUAUGACAAUGAUGUUGUUGUUGAUAGGUGCUUCAGGUUUACUUUGAUAUGUGGUGACAUAUGGCAAAAUUUAUUCAACGAAGAUUUGCAAUUGCCUUCUUCUGAAGCUGGGAGAGCUUGAUUUGCCCAAGGUCACCCAGUGGGUUUCCAUGGACAAGCCAGAUUUGAACUCUGGUCUCAUGAAGUCUUAGUCCAUUAUUCAAACCAGUAUACCACAAUGGGUCUCACAAACCGUAGUCCUAGGACCUUAUCACACACAAAGUUGGAAAUAUGUUUCUAGUAGGCAACCAGUGGUUUUUGAUGAUGGGAUACAUACUGCAUACAAACUGGCCAGAUCAUACUCGCAGCUCUCUCCUUCCCAUAUCUUAUAAAAUAAGGUACUUAGACUGAUUGCAUGGUUGAUAGAUAACUCCUCCAAAACCAUCGAAUGUUCCCCUACCUCACAGCUUAUGGUUCAUAAGGACUACAAGUGGGGCAGCUGUUGUUGUCCCCCCACACCUCCUUUCCUGGGCACUUACCUGUUGUUACUUUUCCUCCACACCUCUUUCCCUAAUAUCAGUUAAAUUUCCUGUACGUUUCAUAUAUACCGUGUACACAUGGCCUGAAAGUAAUUCUAUACAAUAUUUUAGAUAAUUUUAUGUAUGGAACAAAGCUUCUGGACAUUGAACCAUCAUAAAGCAAAGGUGUCACACUUUCCAACACCCACAUAGAAAAUUUUAGAUUUUAGAAUAUUUCAAAUUUUGAAAUUCUGGAUAAGGGAUGCUCAACCUAAACUAGAAUAUCAGUGUUGAAUAUGUGAAGACUUUAUUUAUUCACUUAUGUCAAUUUGUUUGAAAAAUGUCAGACUCCUUAAUAUUUAUACUCUCAGCCUUAUUAUUAUUUGACAUUUUAUUAUCUGGGUGUAUGAAUGUGUGUGUGUGUGUGUGUUAUGAAAAGGAGAAGAAAUGUUUAGAUUUUGUUGUAGAAAUUAAUUGCUUUCUCUAUCUGCUUCCGUAUGAUUCAGAAAUGAAACAAGUAAGGCUUCUGGUUAUCAAGUCACUUAGCGGAAAAUAGUUAUAAAAAUUGCCUGCUCACUGCUCAAUAAUGCGUAAAGGCUUUUAAAAAAAAUCUUGAAUGAAAUCUUAAAUAUAAUUUAGCCCCUGCUUGUGCAAAUUGCUUCAUAUUGUUAAAAUGAGGAUGGAACUGAUGGAACCUUGGCAAGUGGAGAAAUUAUUUGCCUGCUUAUUUUUUUUCAAAAGAAAAUCUAUCUAUGACAGGCAAAUAAAAAUGCCUGUUCUGAUACAACACUAUUC